rnacentral:rRNA from 1 species
GAUGAACGCUGGCGGCGUGCUUAAUACAUGCAAGUCGAACGGAAAGGCCCUGCUUGUAGGGUGCUCGAGUGGCGAACGGGUGAGUAACACGCGGGUGAUCUGCCUCUCACUUUGGGAUAAGUCUGGUCAACUGGGUCUAAUACUGGCCAGGACCUUGCUUGAGGCGGAGUGGUGGAUAGUUGAGUUCCGGUUAGGGAUGAGUUAGCGGCCUAUCAGCUUGUUGGUGGGGAAAUGGUAUACUAAGGCGUCGACGGGUAGCCGGCCUGAGAGGGAGUACGGCCACGUCGGGACUGAGAUGCGACCCAGACGCCUGCAGGAGGCAGCAAUGGGGGAUAGUGCGCAAUAGGCGCAAGGCGUAUGCGGCGACGCCGCGUGGAGGGUGACAGCCUUCUAGUUGUGAACACCUUACGGGCAUGACGAAGCCCUUGUGGUGACGGUAGUGAUAGAAGAAGCACCGGCUAACUACGUG